GACGAACGCUGGCGGCGUGCCUAAUACAUGCAAGUAGGACGCAGUUGCGAACGGGUGAGUAACGCGUAGGUAACUACCUAUUAGAGGGGGAUAACUAUUGGAAACGAUAGCUAAUACCGCAUACUAGUAGAUGGACCUGCGUUGUAUUAGCUAGUAGGUAGGGUAAUGGCCUACCUAGGCAACGAUACAUAGCCGACCUUCAAGGGUGAUCGGCCACCAUGGGACUUGGACACGGCCCAGACUCCUUCGGGAGGCAGCCGUAGGGAAACGUCGGCAAGGGGGGGAACCCUGACCGAGCCACGGCGGGUGAGUGAAGAAGGUUUUCGGAUCGUAAAGCUCUGUUGUUAAGGAAGCGGUACUUAACCAGAAAGGGACGGCUAACUACGUGCCAGCAGCCGCGGUAAUAC
rnacentral:rRNA from 1 species